GUUUAGUUUUCAAUUGAAAGAUCCCCGAAGGGAGACCCUUACUCGAGUCUCGGGAAAUCGCGGACCCCAGAAACAGAGAGACCA
rnacentral:pre_miRNA from 14 species